ensembl:lncRNA
GAAAGACUUUACAUACGUCCAGUUAAACAGGUACAUUUCACAGUUCACUUAUUCAGGGAGUGAUCUGAACAAUAGGACAUGUGAAGUCAAGAAAGAUGGGGGAAACCUUGAGGGUCACGCAGCACAGAACUGGUGCUUCUUGCAAUUCUUCUUUGAGCUUUGAGAUCUGAGUUUUGUGAAGAAUAAAGACAGGCAAAUCAUCAACUACUUCCUGCAUCAGAAGUUAAAGUGGAGAGGGGAAAUUCAGUCUCUGAUGACCGAGAUGGAGAACGACUCAAGGACACUAGAGGAUCAAGAUUUGAUGGCGACUUCAGUUGCCCUGCUCUUGAUGACCUUCUUCAGGGAGGCGAUGGAGUCCCUGUUCAUACUGGCUGAUGACAUCCAGGUGGAUGCUGUCCAUCGAGGGAAAUAUUGUCUUGGCACUGGACAGAAGUGACAAUUUUGCAGCAGCUUAAUAAUGACUAAUAAUGGAUUAUGAGCAUGCACAUUGAAAAAGCAAAUGCAUCACGUAUAAGUAAUUAUAAAUGUAAUAUAAAUGUAACUAUAACUGUUCUUAUAAUGCAUUAUCUGUAUUUGUGUCUUUAUAAAUAUAUUUACAGUAUAGUAAUACUUGCUUAUAAAUAAGAAUAGAAUAUGAGUGCAAAACUUCAAACUGAAUCCUGUUUGCCAACACUUCAUUUGUAAUUCUCUCUUAAGUUCCCUUUAUUUGUAUAUUUCUGUUUCUGUGCACACUUGUUAGUGUUAAUGAUUUUAAUAAUGGUUUGAAUGUUUA